AUGGCCUGGGUGCAGUUAAAAGCUCGUAGUUGGAUUUCGGGUGGGUUCUAGCGGUCCGCCUAUGGUGAGUACUGCUAUGGCCUAUCUUUCUGUCGGGGACGGGCUUCUGGGCUUAACUGUCCGGGACUCGGAGUCGACGUGGUUACUUUGAGUAAAUUAGAGUGUUCAAAGCAGGCUUACGCCCUGAAUACUUUAGCAUGGAAUAACACGAUAGGACUCUGGCCUAUCUUGUUGGUCUGUAGGACUGGAGUAAUGAUUAAGAGGGACAGUCGGGGGCAUUCGUAUUUCAUUGUCAGAGGUGAAAUUCUUGGAUUUAUGAAAGACGAACUACUGCGAAAGCAUUUGCCAAGGAUGUUUUCAUUAAUCAAGAACGAAAGUUGGGGGCUCGAAG
rnacentral:rRNA from 1 species